AGAGUCAACCAUAUUGUUGUGGGUCUGGAGUCACAUGUAGGCCAGACCAGAUAAUCAAGAGGCCCACAGAACCGCACUUAAACCUUGACCAAGCGAAGGUUCAAGACAUCAACACCCCUCAAUAAAUCUAUGUAAAGACAUCAAUGGACCUCCUAACAUCAAUAUGCUGCCAGACCUGCCGAGCUUUCCCAGCAACUUCCGUUUUCGUUCCUGAUUUACAGCAUCCGCAGUUCUUUCAGUUUUUUGGAGUCAGCAGCUCUGACUUUCCUGUUGGGAAUUCUCAGUGUCGGGUUUCUAUCUAUCCCAUGAUACAAUAGGAAGCUGCAUGUUAAUGAGCUGAGAGUCAUGAGGGCAAUAACAAGCAAUAAUUGCUGUUAAAAAAAUGGAACAUGGAAUAUGGAAAAAUGGAAUAUGGAAGGAGAAAAAAAAGUUGCUGUUAAUAGGCCUCUUGCUCCCCAGUGACAGUCUCAUCUUGACUUCCGGAACUCUAUUAGAAAAUGCAAUUAGCUGCUCCCAAUGUUGAGGCCUCGCUUGAGUUCCUUUGCAAUUCUUCAAGAUAUCUUGCCAUGGCCUACGCCAUACAAGAUUCUGCCCAAAUUACAUGUUUUGUUCAUGUCCUCAUUCUCCAUUGAAAAUUAUUUGACCUCUAUCUUUGGUCGACCUUUGUUUUCCCUUGUUAAUCAUUUCCAUUUUACAUACUCAUAGAAGCUGUUACGGUCUGUUUUUACAUUCCCACUGUUUUAGUUUCGUAUUCUGUUUUACUUUUUAGUAUCAAUAUCAAGGUCCUCAUUUCCUGAAUCUUAAAACAUUACCAAUUCUAAGAUUUGUUACUAUUUUAUAACUUUCUAAGCCUCUUCUUUUGAUCUAACACAAUUUUUAACCUCUCCUUAGUCAUGGCUGCAUUGCCUCCCCUAGUGGCGUAUGUGUCUCAAAACCUUUUGUGAACAAAUUCUUCGAAUGCUAGCCAUUGCCCGCCGAGCGUAAUAUAUUUUCAUUUAGUUUCUCGAUCUGUCAAAGCCAUUUGUCCCUCAUACCUUCAUAGAUCCCUGUGUGUGGAUUUAAUACCCCGGUGUUGGAUUGAAGUUAUCGUUUUCAAAAUUAAUGUAAAAUUCUAGCACAUCAUGGCUAUUAACCUUGGGAGGCUCUUGUACAAUGAGAUUAUGAAUCAUCUUUCUCAUUGCAAAAUAUUGGAUCUAAAAUAGUCCAUUCCCUAAAUAGGUUUUCAACAUAUUGUUCUGAGAUGACAAUUUCAUUUACUUCCCAGGAAUAUGUUAUGCAAGAAUUAGUGCUGAUUAGGUUUACCAAGUCAAUUUGUAGAUAAAAGACACCAUGGCCCUUGUUAUUCAGCCUCUAGUUUUCUGAGUUACACUGUGCCCUAUCUUACCACUAAUUAUAAACAACUCUCACUAAUGCAGGUUACCCCUUCCACCCUCUUAGUUCAUCCAAACUGCUUCUUCAUUUAAGUCUUCUGCUCCAAGAUCCUCACUCACUAAAGUAUUGUUUUCAUCCUUUAUCAACAGCCCCACCCAAUCCCCUUUUAGUUUUUUGCUUAUACUCCCUGAAUAUUGAAUGCAUUUGAACAUUUGUUUCCAGCCUUGGUCACCCUGCAGCCAUGUCUCCAUAGUGGCAAUUAUGA